rnacentral:rRNA from 1 species
UACAGGGGGGGCAAGCGUUGUUCGGAAUUACUGGGCGUAAAGGGCUCGUAGGCGGCCAACUAAGUCCGACGUGAAAUCCCCAAGCUUAACUUGGGAACUGCGUCGGAUACUGGAUGGCUUGAAUUCGGGAGAGGGAUGCAGAAUUCCAGGUGUAGCGGUGAAAUGCGUAGAUAUCUGGAGGAAUACCGGUGGCGAAGGCGGCAUCCUGGACCGGCAUUGACGCUGAGGAGCGAAAGCCAGGGGAGCAAACGGG